rnacentral:rRNA from 1 species
CACGGCCCAAACUCCUACGGGAGGCAGCAGUGGGGAAUAUUGCACAAUGGGGGAAACCCUGAUGCAGCAACGUCGCGUGAAGGACGAAGGUUUUCGGAUCGUAAACUUCUAUCAGUAGGGAAGAAAGAAAUGACGGUACCUAACUAAGAAGCCCCGGCUAACUACGUGCCAGCAGCCGCGGUAAUACGUAGGGGGCAAGCGUUAUCCGGAAUCACUGGGUGUAAAGGGUGCGUAGGCGGCAAUAUAAGUCAGAUGUGAAAGUCCGGGGCUCAACUCCGGGGGUGCAUUUGAAACUGUAUGGCUAGAGUACAGGAGAGGAAAGCGGAAUUCCUAGUGUAGCGGUGAAAUGCGUAGAUAUUAGGAGGAACACCAGUGGCGAAGGCGGCUUUCUGGACUGUAACUGACGCUGAGGCACGAAAGCGUGGGUAGCGAACAGGAUUAGAUACCCUGGUAGUCCACGCCAUAAACGAUGAGUGCUAGGUGUCGGGGGUCAAA